UCCCUCGUGAAGGUGGAAUCUGCAGGAAUCCGGCGGCAAAGCCUCGGUCUGAGGAACACGAACUUUGUUUCCAUUGCAUUUUGAGAAGCAAAAUCUACGUCCCUUUGCUUCGUCCAUUUGCUUCUUCGAGUAUGGUUCGCUGUCACACGAAUGGAAAGUAAAAAUG
rfam:Sporomusa sphaeroides DSM 2875 SPSPH_contig000003, whole genome shotgun sequence.